rnacentral:rRNA from 1 species
AAAGUGACGGUACCUGCAGAAGAAGCGCCGGCUAACUACGUGCCAGCAGCCGCGGUAAUACGUAGGGCGCAAGCGUUAUCCGGGAAUUAUUGGGCGUAAAGAGCUCGUAGGCGGUUUGUCGCGUCUAUCGUGAAAGUCCGAGGCUCAACCUCGGAUCUGCGGUGGGUACGGGCAGACUAGAGUGAUGUAGGGGAGACUGGAAUUCCUGGUGUAGCGGUGAAAUGCGCAGAUAUCAGGAGGAACACCGAUGGCGAAGGCAGGUCUCUGGGCAUUAACUGACGCUGAGGAGCGAAAGCAUGGGGAGCGAACAGGAUUAGAUACCCUGGUAGUCCAUGCCGUAAACGUUGGGCACUAGGUGUGGGGGACAUUCCACGUUUUCCGCGCCGUAGCUAACGCAUUAAGUGCCCCGCCUGGGGAGUACGGCCGCAAGGCUAAAACUCAAAGGAAUUGACGGGGGCCCGCACAAGCGGCGGAGCAUGCGGAUUAAUUCGAUGCAACGCGAAGAACCUUACCAAGGCUUGACAUGUGCCAGACCGCCGUGGAAACACGGUUUCCCCUUUGGGGCUGGUUCACAGGUGGUGCAUGGUUGUCGUCAGCUCGUGUCGUGAGAUGUUGGGUUAAGUCCCGCAACGAGCGCAACCCUCGUUCCAUGUUGCCAGCGCGUAAAGGCGGGGACUCAUGGGAGACUGCCGGGGUCAACUCGGAGGAAGGUGGGGACGACGUCAAAUCAUCAUGCCCCUUAUGUCUUGGGCUUCACGCAUGCUACAAUGGCCGGUACAAUGGGUUGCGAUACUGUGAGGUGGAGCUAAUCCCAAAAAGCCGGUCUCAGUUCGGAUUGGGGUCUGCAACUCGACCCCAUGAAGUCGGAGUCGCUAGUAAUCGCAGAUCAGCAUCGCUGCGGUGAAUACGUUCCCGGGCCUUGAACACGUUACCCGUCAAGCCAGGAAAGGAAUUACAACCAAAGUUAAAGUCUUCCCUCCUUCGGGAGGUCGCACC